rnacentral:lncRNA from 1 species
UAGGAAAACCAUGACUUUGAAUGGUAAACUGUAGAAGAGUAACAUCCUUCUGAAUGAGAUGGGUACAUAUGAAUACUGAAGAGUCAUAACCAGUCUGGCCAGAGCCCAGAGGAUCUCACUCAGAUGGUCACCAACUCAGGCCCUCUUCAGGACCAAGUUUGGUCUGAAGCAUUAUGGUUACCUGGGCAGCAGGACACACAAACAACUCACUGUUGUACUCUCAACUCUGAGAACACAACUCUAGCCCAAGCCCCUGAGACCGCCGUCCUUAGAAAGGCCUGCUUGGAAAACUGGACUUUGGCUGACAUCUAAAAACAGCUCUCAGAGCGUUCCCAGUCAACUGUUAGCCAAUAAAAGUGGCUCACGGUGCACUAGAAACUUCGUGCAAAUAAUAUGGCUUAUGCUGAACACUUGCUUUCCUUCUGGAAGUCUAGACUGACAGAAGGUACAUAUGUCACCCCCCCCAGUAAAACCCUGGGGCACUGAGCAUCUACUGGACUUUCCUGGACAUAAACAUUGCACAAAUAUUGCUGCGUUUUUUGUUCUGGAGAAAGAAAGCACUCUGUGUGAACUCUUAUCGUAGGGAGAGAGAUACAAAUGCCUGGAUACAGAUUCCUCCAGAGUCCAUCUGUGUCUUUUCCCUUUAUGAACAUUGAUAUCAUAAAUCUUAGUCAUGAAUACAACCAUAUGCUAAGCCCUCUGAGUCUUCUAGCAAAUCUCUGAUGAUAGUGGUGACCGUGGGGAUCCCAACACAGAUAUAGAAAAAUAAGGAUGUUCUUUAAAGGCUACAAAAGUACAACCCUGUGAGCAUGGGGCGCUGGCCCUGGCUCAUCCUCUACCCUUCAGUUCCCUCAUUCCAUGUCAUGAACUUGCUGCUCUGGAGCAUCAACCUGUUUGUAGGCCUCAGGCACACAAAAGUGUGGCUAAAUUCCUAUGCCUUAGCUUUUGCUGCCCCUCUGCCUGGAGCAACUCUCUGGCCCCAAUUCAACCUUGUCUUUUUCCUGACUAACUCUUCUUCACUAUGUUUUAGCUUAAAUGUCAUCUCCUCCAGAAAGCCUUCAUUAACUCCUUCAUUCUUGUUAGGUAGUCCCACUCUGUGC